rnacentral:rRNA from 1 species
UACGUAGGGGGCAAGCGUUGUCCGGAAUCAUUGGGCGUAAAGAGCGUGUAGGCGGCCCGAUAAGUCCGCCGUGAAAGUCCAGGGCUCAACCCUGGAAUGCCGGUGGAAACUGUCGGGCUGGAGUCCGGAAGAGGCGAGUGGAAUUCCUGGUGUAGCGGUGAAAUGCGCAGAUAUCAGGAGGAACAUCCGUGGCGAAGGCGGCUCUCUGGGACGGUACUGACGCUGAGACGCGAAAGCGUGGGGAGCGAACAGG